GUUUGAUCCUGGCUCAGGACGAACGCUGGCGGCGUGCCUAACACAUGCAAGUCGAGCGAAGAAGUCCCUUCGGGGAUGGAUUAGCGGCGGACGGGUGAGUAACACGUGGGUAACCUGCCUCAAAGAGGGGGAUAGCCUCCCGAAAGGGAGAUUAAUACCGCAUAAAAGGUAAAUACCGCAUGGUAAAUACCUUAAAGGAGAAAUCCGCUUUGAGAUGGGCCCGCGUCGCAUUAGCUAGUUGGAGGGAUAAAAGCCCCCCAAGGCGACGAUGCGUAGCCGGCCUGAGAGGGUGAACGGCCACAUUGGAACUGAGAUACGGUCCAGACUCCUACGGGAGGCAGCAGUGGGGAAUAUUGCACAAUGGGGGAAACCCUGAUGCAGCAACGCCGCGUGAGUGAAGAAGGUUUUCGGAUCGUAAAGCUCUGUCAUCCGGGACGAUAAUGACGGUACCGGAAGAGGAAGCCACGGCUAACUACGUGCCAGCAGCCGCGGUAAUACGUAGGUGGCGAGCGUUGUCCGGAAUUACUGGGCGUAAAGGGUGUGCAGGCGGAUAUUUAAGUGAGAUGUGAAAGACCCGGGCUUAACCCGGGCAGUGCAUUUCAAACUGGAUAUCUAGAGUGCAGGAGAGGAGAACGGAAUUCCUAGUGUAGCGGUGAAAUGCGUAGAGAUUAGGAAGAACACCAGUGGCGAAGGCGGUUCUCUGGACUGUAACUGACGCUGAGGCACGAAAGCGUGGGUAGCAAACAGGAUUAGAUACCCUGGUAGUCCACGCCGUANACGAUGAGUACUANNGUGUANGGGGUAUCGACCCCCCCUGUGCCGCAGUAAACACAAUAAGUACUCCGCCUGGGAAGUACNGAUCGCAGAUUNAAACUCAAAGGAAUUGACGGGGACCCGCACAAGCAGCGGAGCAUGUGGUUUAUUUCGAAGCAACGCGAAGAACCUUACCUAGACUUGACAUCUCCUGAAUUACCCGUAAUGGGGGAAGCUCUUCGGAGCAGGAAG
rnacentral:rRNA from 1 species